ACGAACGCUGGCGGCGUGCUUAACACAUGCAAGUCGAACGGAAAGGCCCCGCUUUUGUGGGGUGCUCGAGUGGCGAACGGGUGAGUAACACGUGAGUAACCUGCCCUUGACUUUGGGAUAACUUCAGGAAACUGGGGCUAAUACCGGAUAGGAGCUCCUGCUGCAUGGUGGGGGUUGGAAAGUUUUGGCGGUUGGGGAUGGACUCGCGGCUUAUCAGCUUGUUGGUGGGGUAGUGGCUUACCAAGGCUUUGACGGGUAGCCGGCCUGAGAGGGUGACCGGCCACAUUGGGACUGAGAUACGGCCCAGACUCCUACGGGAGGCAGCAGUGGGGAAUAUUGCACAAUGGGCGGAAGCCUGAUGCAGCAACGCCGCGUGCGGGAUGACGGCCUUCGGGUUGUAAACCGCUUUCGCCUGUGACGAAGCGUGAGUGACGGUAAUGGGUAAAGAAGCACCGGCUAACUACGUG
rnacentral:rRNA from 1 species